rnacentral:tRNA from 1 species
GGGGGAUUAGCUCAGCUGGCUAGAGCGCCUGCCUUGCACGCAGGAGGUCAUCGGUUCGACUCCGAUAUUC